AAGGCUUUAAGUUAAUUAAACUAAUAACCUUCAAAGCUAUAAAUAAAGAAGUGUUCUUUAAGCCUUA
rnacentral:tRNA from 1 species